UCAUUCUUCCGUUUCCGGGAAAAAAACCGUAACCAUUUUUAAAAUGAAAACAUAUCUUUAUAUAGCCAAAGAUAGCUUAUAGUACCGAAUUAAAUUUAUUUUUAGUCUAUGUCUACGAAUUAUGAUCUCACAUGGUGCACAAAUAAAGUGGCCUAUUGCUUUUUUUUUGCAUGAAACAUGCUUGAAAUGAAACGUAAGCCAUAUAGAAUAUCCGGUGAACUCCCGGUUAACUACAGUUUAUGAAGAUCGACAUAAACAAAUAAAUGGCAAAUUUUAGUUCCCGGUGAUCACGCAGUACUCUUUGUAUAUCGUUGCUGGUGUGGCUGUUCAUAGUGUCCUUCAUUUUGUUCAUGUCUAAAGUGAUAAGAACUCCUAAAUUAUAUUCUUUAUGGAAUAUCAAACCUCCGAAUCGGAAGGCGAGACGGUAACCCGAAGUGGGAACUAUUCAGUAUUUCUGUUACUAAUAUGAUUUGUAUUAUAAAAGGUACUUACUGAUGUACUUGAGAUUUGAUUAUGAAGUAAUAGAGAUAAUUUUAUUAAUUAUUAAAUAUGUUAGAUGGUUGAA